ACUCAAAUGAAUAGACGGGGACCCGCACAAGCGGUGGAUGAUGUGGAUUAAUUCGAUGCAACGCGAAAAACCUUACCUACCCUUGACAUGUCUAGAAUCCCUAAGAGAUUGGGGAGUGCUCGCAAGAGAACUGGAACACAGGUGCUGCAUGGCUGUCGUCAGCUCGUGUCGUGAGAUGUUGGGUUAAGUCCCGCAACGAGCGCAACCCUUGUCAUUAGUUGCUACGAAAGGGCACUCUAAUGAGACUGCCGGUGACAAACCGGAGGAAGGUGGGGAUGACGUCAAGUCCUCAUGGCCCUUAUGGGUAGGGCUUCACACGUCAUACAAUGGUCGGGACAGAGGGUCGCCAACCCGCGAGGGGGAGCCAAUCCCAGAAACCCGAUCGUAGUCCGGAUCGUAGUCUGCAACUCGACUACGUGAAGUCGGAAUCGCUAGUAAUCGCGGAUCAGAAUGUCGCGGUGAAUACGUUCCCGGGUCUUGCACACACCGCCCGU
rnacentral:rRNA from 1 species